GCUUGUCUCAAAGAUUAAGCCAUGCAUGUCUAAGUACAAGCCUCAGUAAGGUGAAACCGCGAAUGGCUCAUUAAAUCACACCUAAUCUACUGGAAAGUUACUAGUUACUUGGAUAACUGAGGUAAUUCUUGAGCUAAUACAUGCGAAAAAUCUCGACUCACGGAGAGAUGCUUUUAUUAGAUCAAAACCAAACGGCUUCGGCCGUCUCAUUGGUGAUUCAUAAUAACUUAUCGGAGCUCAUGGCCUUGUGCCGGAGCCAGGUCAUUCAAAUUUCUGCCCUAUCAGCUUUCGAUGGUAGUGUAGUGGACUACCAUGGCUUUAACGGGUGACGGAGAAUUAGGGUUCGAUUCCGGAGAGGGAGCCUGAGAAACGGCUACCACAUCCAAGGAAGGCAGCAGG
rnacentral:rRNA from 1 species